AUGGUUUGCUUGGUGUCAUUCCUGACAUUUUCUAUGGAGACUUCCAGUUGUAAGAGCUCCAGGCUUCAGGGAAUGGAUGACAGAGGGAACCGACUCCUGACUAUCAGCGCGCACCAGGGAAAACACAAGCAAUGAAUGUGUUCGCAACCUCUGUCACCUCCUAUUUGCUUUACAUUUACCAUUGGUUUUAAUAAAUAGGAGCCGGGUUCCA
rnacentral:lncRNA from 1 species